GUCUUUGUAGUAUAAUAAUUACUUUGGUCUUGUAAACCAAGAAUGGAGAACACCAUGACCCUCCCUAAGACU
rnacentral:tRNA from 1 species